CAUUCCGCCUAGUCCUGUUACCUCCUUGUUGUUCCUGUUCAUUUUGUUCUGGCUCCCUGCAUUCUCCAUGGUUUUUCAUUUAAUCCCACAGGAGGAGGACAGAGAGAGGGAAGGCAGGGGAGAGAAGCAUGGACCAAGGGAUCCGAGGACGGGAGUAGAACCCCGGACUACUGCGGUCUACAGCCACUACAUGAACUACUAAUGGAUUAGUUCAACGUGCUGAUUUGUGCAGAAAUCCACUGUGUUUUAGUGGGAGUGAUGGGGGGGAAAAAAGGCCAUCCCCUUCGAAUCCUCUUUCAUGAGUUCAUCACUUGUUGGACGCCCAAGCUUUUUAUCGAGUAUGGAUAAAGCACGUCUUUGUGAUUCAGCAUUGUAGCUGAUGGAGAGAUCCAGAUAUAGCAGCGGAUGGAGCAAAAUGACAAACGUCUGUGGGAAAAGAAAUGUGGCUGUGCUUUGUGGAGAAACUGCUGACACUUCGGAUUGGAAGAUGCCCUGAAAGUGGGUCUUCUUUUUUUUUAAACCAAAAGGGUUUUAAAAUGUUUUUUUACCCAAUGUGUUCAACAUAAAUCCAUAGGGAUAUGAGGACACAUCUUUACAGGCAACAAUAUUUUCUAAAUCUAUUAUAAACUUUAAAAAAUAAGCAAUCAAUUGUUACCACUUCAUUGCUUAGGAAGUAGUCAUUGUGCAUUGUGUACAAACUUUGCCACAAAACCGAUUCUGAUGUUACAUUGAUGGACCUAAAUGAAAACAUGCAUCUUAGGAAUGCAGCAGGAAAGUAUUUAAUUUCAUAUUUUUGUAAAAAAAAAACUAAAAAAAAACGUACAUAUAAAAUUUUGUGCACAUUUUCCAGACAGUUUUCUUUCUUUGAACAAAAUCUUCCUGAGAAGAAAGGCAUAAAGAGAGCGUGCGAGAGAGAGAGAGAAAGUUGCGCAGGGGGCGAGGGAGAGUGUACAGGAACAGGAAUUAAUUCUAACACUACAGAAUCAUUAGACCAGGGGUCAGGAACCUUUUUGG